rnacentral:lncRNA from 1 species
GUAAGUGAGGCUGGAACAAUGGCAACAUCAACACACAUGUUAAGGAGAAAAUAAGAACUACAGGCAGCUAAUGGCCACUGGGAGCAGGGGAAUGAGCUUCCCUCAGGAAUGAGCCCCACUGUUGGUUGUCUACUGCAGAGAGGGCAGCCUAGAAAUCAUAAAUACACCACCACCAAAAACAGGCUUAGUAGGUCGUUUUUAUAUACAUUCAUGCACAGAUACACACACACAUGUAUGUAUGCAACAACAUGUUACAAUAAUAAAAGAAAAUAGAGGUUAUCAGCUUGAGAGAUGGAGAGAUAUGGAAAGGGUUUAAGGGAAGAUAACCAACAGGGGCUAGAAGGAGGAGGGAAGAAGAGAUUAGCCAGAAGAGAAGGCAGUAGAGGGUAUCCAGCACACACACACAUAUAUAUGUAUAUGUGUAUAUGUAUAUGUAUAUGUAUAUGUAUAUGUAUAUGAAAAGAAAAUUUAAAAAGACAAGAUAAAAAAACCUUGCAUAAGCACACCAAAGAGAGGGGCGAGUAGAAGCUAUUUUAACAUAUCUACAAAUGAAAGGCCAGGAAGAGAGGAGAUAAAAACCAGUCUGACUUCUUUCUCCAUUUUCUUUUUCUUCCUAGAAGUAACCAUUGAUCCCUUUCAACCCUGUUUGUUUUAUUUUAUUUUUUUAAAGACAGGAUCCCACUAUGUAGACCUGGCUAACCUUGAGCACGGAGGAGAUCCACCUGCCUCUGCCUCUUGAGUGCUGGGAUUAAAGGCGUCUCCCACUGUGUCUAGCAAUGUUUUUUAAGUUAGGGGGUUUAUUAUUUUAGAUAUUUAAAUGCUAUUUUAUGUAUUUUGAGUGUUUUGCCUGCAAGUAUGUAUGUGUACCGCUUGUGUGCCUGGUGCUCAACCAAGAGGUUGUUGGGUCCCUUGAAACUGGAGUUACAGAUUGUCAUGAACAGGGUACUGGGUAUUG